GGAAUCAUUGGGCGUAAAGCGCCUGUAGGUUGUUUAAUAAGUCCGUUGUUAAAGACUAGGGCUUAACCCUAGGAAAGCGAUGGAAACUGAUAGACUUGAGUAUGGCAGGGGUAGAGGGAAUUUCUAGUGUAGCGGUGAAAUGCGUAGAUAUUAGAAAGAACACCGGUGGCGAAAGCGCUCUACUGGACCAUUACUGACACUGAGAGGCGAAAGCUAGGGGAGCGAAAGGGAUUAGAUACCCCUGUAGUCCUAGCCGUAAACGAUGGAUACUAGAUGUUGUGCAAUUUGGACAGUAUCGUAGCUAACGCGUUAAGUAUCCCGCCUGGGGAGUACGCUCGCAAGGGUGAAACUCAAAGGAAUUGACGGGGGCCCGCACAAGCGGUGGAGCAUGUGGUUUAAUUCGAUGCAACGCGAAGAACCUUACCAGGGCUUGACAUACUACAGAUCUUUUUGAGAAAGAAGAGUGCCUUCGGGAAUGUAGAUACAGGUGGUGCAUGGCUGUCGUCAGCUCGUGUCGUGGGAUGUUGGGUUAAGUCCCGCAACGAGCGCAACCCUCGUUUUUAGUUGCCAAUUUAUUGGGAUCUCUAGAAAGACUGCCGGUGACAAACCGGAGGAAGGUGAGGAUGACGUCAAGUCAGCAUGCCCCUUAUGUCCUGGGCCAUACACGUGCUACAAUGGUAAAGACAAAGAGUCGCCAAUUCGCGAGAAUGAGCUAAUCUCAUAAACUUUAUCUAAGUUCGGAUUGUAGGCUGCA
rnacentral:rRNA from 1 species